rnacentral:tRNA from 1 species
GUGGCCAUACCUCAGUGGUAGAGCGCAUGCUUAACAGGCAUGAAGUCCGGGGUUCAAUCCCCAGUACCUCCA